CUAGGAGAACCGAAAACAGUUCUAGACUGACCUGCGGUUUUAUUGCACUUUGGCAGUCAACUUCAGCUUGUGUCAGAGCAGACAUGACAGAGCUGCCCGGCGCUUAAUCGCGGGACACCACCUCCUCGGACGCUCUGCAGCUCCCCUCUUACUUUUCAAUAAAUUUCAGACCUUGGGUCUAGAAAAGGGGAGCUGAGCUG
rfam:Colius striatus contig46626, whole genome shotgun sequence.